UACGGAGGGAGCUAGCGUUGUUCGGAAUUACUGGGCGUAAAGCGCACGUAGGCGGCUUUUUAAGUCAGGGGUGAAAUCCCGGGGCUCAACCCCGGAACUGCCCUUGAAACUGGAGAGCUAGAAUCUUGGAGAGGCGAGUGGAAUUCCGAGUGUAGAGGUGAAAUUCGUAGAUAUUCGGAAGAACACCAGUGGCGAAGGCGAACUCGCUGGACAAGUAUUGACGCUGAGGUGCGAAAGCGUGGGGAGCAAACAGG
rnacentral:rRNA from 1 species